CCGACGGUGAGGGAUGAAAGCUGGGGGAGCAAACCGGAUUAGAUACCCGGGUAGUCCCAGCUGUAAACGAUGCAAACUCGAUGAUGCGUUGGCUUAUUGCUAGCGCAGUGUCGCAGGGAAGCCGUUAAGUUUGCCGCCUGGGAAGUACGUACGCAAGUAUGAAACUUAAAGGAAUUGGCGGGGGAGCACCACAAGGGGUGAAGCCUGCGGUUCAAUUGGAGUCAACGCCUGAAACCUUACCCGGAGAGACAGCAGAAUGAAGGUCAAGCUGAAGACUUUACCAGACAAGCUGAGAGGUGGUGCAUGGCCGUCGCCAGCUCGUGCCGUGAGAUGUCCUGUUAAGUCAGGUAACGAGCGAGAUCCCUGCCUCUAGUUGCCACCAUUACUCUCAGGAGUAGUGGGGCGAAUUAGCGGGACCGCCGCAGUUAAUGCGGAGGAAGGAAGGGGCCACGGCAGGUCAGUAUGCCCCGAAACUCUGGGGCCACACGCGGGCUGCAAUGGUAACGACAAUUGGUUUCGAAUCCGAAAGGAUGAGGUAAUCCUCAAACGUUACCACAGUUAUGACUGAGGGCUGCAACUCGCCCUCACGAAUAUGGAAUCCCUAGUAACUGCGUGUCAUUAUCGCGCGGUGAAUACGUCCCUGCUCCUUGCACUCACCGCCCGU
rnacentral:rRNA from 1 species